AAUAGAUACCCUGGUAGUCCACGCUGUAAACGAUGGGCACUAGGUGUGGGGGGUGUCGACUCCCUCCGUGCCGAAGCUAACGCAUUAAGUGCCCCGCCUGGGGAGUACGGCCGCAAGGCUAAAACUCAAAGGAAUUGACGGGGGCCCGCACAAGCAGCGGAGCAUGUGGUUUAAUUCGACGCAACGCGAAGAACCUUACCUGGGCUUGACAUGUUCCUGACCGUCCUGGAAACAGGGCUUCCCUUCGGGGCAGGAUCACAGGUGGUGCAUGGCCGUCGUCAGCUCGUGUCGUGAGAUGUUGGGUUAAGUCCCGCAACGAGCGCAACCCCCGUCGCAUGUUGCCAGCAUUAAGUUGGGGACUCAUGCGAGACUGCCGGUGACAAACCGGAGGAAGGUGGGGAUGACGUCAAGUCAUCAUGCCCCUUAUGUCCAGGGCUACACACGUGCUACAUUGGCGCGUACAGAGGGCUGCGAUACCGCGAGGUGGAGCGAGUCCCUUAAAGCGCGUCUCGGUUCGGAUUGCAGGCUGGAAACCCCG
rnacentral:rRNA from 1 species